CCCCUAGAUGUUCUGGGCCGCACGCGCGCUACACUGAACAGUUCAACAAGUCUUAACCUUGGCCGAUAGGUCUGGGUAAUCUUUGAACGCUGUUCGUGAUUGGGAUAGACCUUUGCAAUUAUGGGUCUUCAACGAGGAAUUCCUAGUAAACGCAAGUCAUCAGCUUGCAUUGAUUACGUCCCUGCCCUUUGUACACACCACCCGUCGCACCUACCGAUUGAAUGGUCCGGUGAAAUCUCGGGACGGCGGCUUGGUCGCUUGCGUCCGACUGCUGAAACUUGAUUAAACCAUAUCAUUUAGAGGAAGGUGAAGUCGUANCA
rnacentral:rRNA from 1 species